rnacentral:rRNA from 1 species
GACGAACGCUGGCGGUGUGCUUAACACAUGCAAGUCGAACGGUAAGGCCCUUUCGGGGGUACUCGAGUGGCGAACGGGUGCGUAACACGUGAGUAACCUGCCCUCAUCUCUGGGAUAACAGUCGGAAACGGUUGCUAAUACUGGAUAUGAGCUUGCAAGGCAUCUUGUGGGUUGGAAAGAUUUUUUUUGGUUGGGGAUGGACUCGCGGCCUAUCAGCUUGUUGGUGAGGUAGUGGCUCACCAAGGCUUCGACGGGUAGCCGGCCUGAGAGGGCGACCGGCCACAUUGGGACUGAGAGACGGGCCAAACUCCUACGGGAGGCAGCAGUGGGGAAUAUUGCACAAUGGACGGAAGUCUGAUGCAGCAACGCCGCGUGCGGGAUGACGGCCUUCGGGUUGUAAACCGCUUUCAAUUGUGACGAAGCUUUUUUGUGACGGUAGCAGUAGAAGAAGCACCGGCUAACUACGUG